rnacentral:miRNA from 14 species
UGACAGUGGUACAUUGUCUACU